rnacentral:rRNA from 1 species
UGUAGCAAUACAAGGCAGACGGCUCAGUAACGCGUAGUCAAUCUACCCUAUGGACGGGAAUAACCUCGGGAAACUGAGAAUAAUGCCCGAUAGAACAUUAUGCCUGGAAUGGUUUAUGUUUCAAAUGAUUUAUCGCCGUAGGAUGGGACUGCGGCCUAUCAGUUUGUUGGUGAGGUAAUGGCCCACCAAGACUAUUACAGGUACGGGCUCUGAGAGGAGUAGCCCGGAGAUGGGUACUGAGACACGGACCCAGGCCCUAUGGGGCGCAGCAGGCGAGAAAACUUUGCAAUGUGCGAAAGCACGACAAGGUUAAUCCGAGUGGUUUCUGCUAAAGAAACCUUUUGCUAGUCCUAGAAACACUAGUGAAUAAGGGGUGGGCAAGUUCUGGUGUCAGCCGCCGCGGUAAAACCAGCACCUCAAGUGGUCAGGAUGAUUAUUGGGCCUAAAGCAUCCGUAGCUCGUUUUGUAAGUUUUCGGUUAAAUCCAUACGCUCAACGUAUGGGCUGCCGGGAAUACUGCAUAACUAGGAAGUGGGAGAGGUAGACGGUACUCGGUAGGAAGGGGUAAAAUCCUUUGAUCUAUUGAUGACCACCUGUGGCGAAGGCGGUCUACCAGAACACGUUCGACGGUGAGGGAUGAAAGCUGGGGGAGCAAACCGGAUUAGAUACCCGGGUAGUCCCAGCUGUAAACUAUGCAAACUCAGUGAUGCAUUGGCUUGUGGCCAAUGCAGUGCUGCAGGGAAGCCGUUAAGUUUGCCGCCUGGGAAGUACGUACGCAAGUAUGAAACUUAAAGGAAUUGGCGGGGGAGCACCACAAGGGGUGAAGCCUGCGGUUC